rnacentral:rRNA from 1 species
CCUACGGGGUGCAGCAGUGGGGGAUAUUGGACAAUGGGGGGAACCCUGAUCCAGCGACGCCGCGUGAGUGAAGAAGUAUUUCGGUAUGUAAAGCUCUGUCAGCAGGGAAGAAAGAAAUGACGGUACCUGACCAAGAAGCCCCGGCUAACUACGUGCCAGCAGCCGCGGUAAUACGUAGGGGGCAAGCGUUAUCCGGAAUUACUGGGUGUAAAGGGAGCGUAGACGGUUAAGUAAGUCUGGAGUGAAAGGCCGGGGCCCAACCCCGGGACUGCUCUGGAAACUAUUGAACUUGAGUGCAGGGGAGGUAAGCGGAAUUCCUAGUGUAGCGGUGAAAUGCGUAGAUAUUAGGAGGAACACCAGUGGCGAAGGCGGCUUACUGGACUGUAACUGACGUUGAGGCUCGAAAGCGUGGGGAGCAAACAGGAUUAGAUACCCCAGUAGUC